GGCAUGAGUGGUAUUUACACAUGUAUUUUCUGCUGGUUUCUGUUGGUUUUCCAGACUUGCUUUCAGAUUCCUGGUUUGAUGUGGGUCUGUCAUCCCACUGCUCUACUUGACCCUGUUAUGGACAAGCUACUUAUGGGCGUUUGAUGGAGAUUUGGGGAAAUUUUCAGAGAUACAAAUGUAAACACCCAAGUUACAUUGAUGAGAUGGAGAAGCCCAUUCUCGAUAGGAAGGAGUUAAUAGAGAACCAUCCUGGAGAAGGUUCUGUCUUGUCAUUCAUUGUAUGACAAGCUUGGAGAUGAAAGACUCGCAUGGAGAGUGGUACGUUGUGCAUUAGGAUUGGCAGAUAUCCUCUGGGAUCUGAACAGUGAAGGACUAUUUGAGAUGUGCACUCUAUGCUUGUCAAAGAGAAGUAAGUGCUGCAAUAAAAAUAGAAUAUUCAAACUCCCCUCAGCCUGGGUAGAAGGAGGACUUCACCUUUAUGCAAGAAGACCUGCUUAAUCUGAAAGUUCUCCUAGAAAGGAUUUUAAGGGCAGCCGUCCAUUUCUGUGCAGGAACAGACAUAUGUUAAAGGCUGUCAUGCUGCUGCAGAAGCAAACCAGUGAGCUCAUGGGCUGCCUCUGCCAAUGGUUAAGGUCAGCUACUGGAAAAAAUGACAAGACAGCUAUUACA